ACGGGAGGCAGCAGUGAGGAAUAUUGGUCAAUGGACGGAAGUCUGAACCAGCCAAGUCGCGUGAAGGAUGAAGGUAUUAUGUAUUGUAAACUUCUUUAGCAGUGGAGUAAUAAGGGGAUCGCGAUCCCUGAUGCAAGUACACUGAGAAUAAGGAUCGGCUAACUCCGUGCCAGCAGCCGCGGUAAUACGGAGGAUCCGAGCGUUAUCCGGAUUUAUUGGGUUUAAAGGGUGCGCAGGCGGAUCGGUAAGUCAGGGGUGAAAAGUUGGGGCUCAACUCCAAUCGUGCCUUUGAUACUGCCGGACUAGAGUGCGAUAGACGUGGCCGGAAUGUGAUGUGUAGCGGUGAAAUGCUUAGAUAUGUCACAGAACACCGAUCGAGAAGUCAGGUCACGAGCUCGCAACUGACGCUCAGGCACGAAAGCGUGGGGAUCAAACAGGAUUAGAUACCCUGGUA
rnacentral:rRNA from 1 species